rnacentral:rRNA from 1 species
AAAUGAAUAGACGGGGACCCGCACAAGCAGCGGAGCAUGUGGAUUAAUUCGACGCAACGCGAAGAACCUUACCUGGGCUUGACAUACCUCUGACCGCCAUGGAAACAUGGCUUCCCUUCGGGGCAGAGAUACAGGUGGUGCAUGGCUGUCGUCAGCUCGUGUCGUGAGAUGUUGGGUUGAGUCCCGCAACGAGCGCAACCCCCGUCCUAUGUUGCCAGCAUUCAGUUGGGGACUCAUAGGAGACUGCCGGUGACAAACCGGAGGAAGGUGGGGAUGACGUCAAGUCAUCAUGCCCCUUAUGUCCAGGGCUUCACACGUGCUACAUUGGCGCAUACAGAGGGCUGCGAUACCGCAAGGUGGAGCGAAUCCCAAAAAGUGCGUCUCGGUUCGGAUUGGGGGCUGAAACUCGCCCCCAUGAAGGCGGAGUUGCUAGUAAUCCCGGAUCAGCAAUGCCGGGGUGAAUACGUUCCCGGGUCUUGUACACACCGCCCGU